UGUAAGCGUAUACCAAAGUUGUUGCAGUUAAAACGCUCGUAGUCGGAAUUUGGCAGUUCCGGAAGUGUGCACGUCGUGUGCGCACUUUGCGGGGACUGCUUUUGUGGUCUUGCGUAGGAUGAGGCACUUUCAUUAGUGAACGUCCUCACGCAACCACUCUUUACUGUGAGAAAAUCAGAGUGCUCAAAGCAGGCAUUUGCCGUGGAUGUAUUAGCAUGGAAUAAUAGAAUAGGACUCGGUUCUAUUUUGUUGGUUUGUUGGGACUGAGUAAUGAUUAAGAGGGACAGUUGGGGGCAUUUGUAUUCCGGCGCUAGAGGUGAAAUUCUUAGAUUGCCGGAAGACAAACUGCUGCGAAAGCGUCUGCCAAGGAUGUUUUCAUUGA
rnacentral:rRNA from 1 species